GGAGCCGCGGCUCCGGGGACCGCGGCCGCCGCCGAGCAGCAGCAGCGAGCGCUUCACUUCGCGCGGGUCAGGCGAGGGAGCGUCCCACCCCGGCAGCCGGAGCGCGGCGAGACCAGCCCAGCCCCAGGACCUGGCAAGUGAAUGCAUCUGAAUUGCUCUGAGGAGAUUCAAGAUAAGAGACUGUAAACUGUUUGGGCCCAGGACAGUCUGUUACUCUGUGUAUGUACAGCACCUUGCACAAUAGACAAUCGGAUCCUGACUGGAGCCUCCAAGCUCUGCAUCCAUAUAAACAAGACUCCCUCUUCUUGUUCCCCUACGGCAUGUUUGAGUGUGAUAUCACUAACCUCCCUGGGGGAGAGGAUACAUCGUCAGUCCAACCCAGUGCCACCAUUCAAGCUGUGUAAUAAAACAAUCUUGCAGUGCUCUAACUGAAUGUAAAACUUAAUUAUAUUUAACAUAGGUUGUGAGUCUUUUUUUCAGUGGGGGACACGGGGGAAACCUGAGCUGAGGCCUUAAAGCAUCCACUAUUUUUGCUAAAUAUGUACACUAGUACAUUUCCUUUUCAUGCCUUCUCUUUCAGGAUAGCUGUUUUGUGCAGUUCAUGCUACAGCCGAUGCAAAUGGCUCAGCUGUAAGAAACAGCAGCUGCUUUUUUUAUUAUUUUCAGUGUAGCCUACUUUCUCUGGAGGGAAGCCAAGUGACAUGUUUUCACAACACUACGUCAAGUAAUGAUCUAUGCAUCUCAUACCUUUGCUUGAUAGGCUCAUUUUUCAGCAGUGCAGGGAUCUUGAGCAGCUUUUUACCAGUGCUUGGUGUAGGUCUUCACCCCCCCACCCCCACCCCUCCCAAUUCUUAAGAUGUUGGAAGGGCUUUAAAUAUAAAAACCAGUAUAAGUUGGGGGCGGGGGGUGAGUGAAUGAGUGGGUUUGUGUGUAGUUUAUUUUUAGAUCUUUGAAAAGUAAAAACAAAACUCUUUUUGCUACUCUCCAGCCCUUGCCUCCACUUCCUGGAGCAGACACACAGCAGACAGCCUCUCAGCUAGAGCCGUGGUGAGACUGUCGUAACUAGGGGAACUUUCCUCCUGCCCCCCAUCCAGCUCCAGCUGAUGGUAGGGUUUGACUGGAGCUGGCUGCAGCAUGCUUCCAGCUGCUCCCCUAAUGUAACCAUCUCUCUAACUCCAUGCCCAGGGAGAGAAGUGACUUUUUCUCUCUGCCCACCUGGCUUGGGGAACCCCAGCAGGAAUAUGGGGAAUGAUUGGUUGUAUCUGCCUCUAAACCACUACCAUUCUCCCCUCCAAAGCAGGCUGGUCCCUAGAAUGUGAUGGUGCUGCCUACAUGUCCUGGUUCUGCUUGCUCCUUUGUAAGCACCACCAUGAGAGAUGAGGAGGUAGGCUGCCCCUCCUCCCACUGCUCUGUGAGGUUGGAAAUGGGGGUGUCCAGUGAAGAGGCAGACUCAUCUAGCCAUUCCCCCUCCCCCUCACUUUUGGGUGGGGGUGCCAGAUGGGAAAUGGUGAGGGCAUAUUGCUUUUUCCUGGGAGUGGAUUGGGAGGUAGCUUCCCCCCGCCCCCCCUACACACACCACC